AUUCGAUCGCCCGUUCUCCAACAACCGUUAUUGGUCUUGAAGUAUACGAUCUCCGUCGCCGAGCGUACCUAUCUCGGCUGUAUCCACUUCCAAAAAACUACGGCUAACAAAAUACUGAUAUUUAGACAUUUCCCGAUUUUCUUUAUUUCUCAAUUUUUCCUGUAAUCUUCAUGUUAAACUGAGCCCACCGCCUGUAUACGCUUCCGAGAAUAGUGACAUCUAGACAAGCUGUACUUCCGGUAUGUAU